AGAGUUUGAUCGUGGCUCAGGAUGAACGCUAGCGGCGCGCUUAAUGCAUGCAAGUCGAGCGAUGAGGUCUCUUCGGAGACCAUCAGCGGCAGACGGGUGAGUAACACGUGGAUGACCUGCCCCGAAGACGAGGAUAACGGAUGGAAACAUGCGCUAAUACUCGAUAGACUCCUGGUGUCGCAGCCAAGAGUAAAGCUCCGGCGCUUCGGGAGGGGUCCGCGGCCUAUCAGCUAGUUGGUAGGGUAACGGCCUACCAAGGCAACGACGGGUAGGGGGUGUGAGAGCACGACCCCCCACAAUGGGACUGAGACACGGCCCAUACUCCUACGGGAGGCAGCAGCAGGGAAUAUUGCGCAAUGGACGAAAGUCUGACGCAGCGACGCCGCGUGGAUGAUGAAGGCCUUCGGGUUGUAAAAUCCUUUUCAGGGGGAAGAGGAAGGGCGGUACCCUUGGAAUAAGCGUCGGCUAACUACGUGCCAGCAGCCGCGGUAAGACGUAGGACGCAAGCGUUAUCCGGAUUUACUGGGCGUAAAGCGUCUGUAGGCGGACUCGUAAGUUGGGCGUGAAAGCUCCGGGCUCAACCCUGAGAGGACGUUCAAUACUGCGAGACUAGAGGUCAUCAGAGGGGCGUGGAGUUUCCGGUGUAGCGGUAAAAUGCGCAGAUAUCGGAAGGAACACCAGUGGCGAAGGCGGCGCCCUGGGGUGGACCUGACGCUAAGAGACGAAAGCUAGGGGAGCGAACAGGAUUAGAGACCCUGGUAGUCCUAGCUGUAAACGAUGGAUGCUAGGUGUGGGAUCGACAGGUUCCGUGCCGCAGCAAACGCGAUAAGCAUCCCGCCUGGGGACUACGGCCGCAAGGCUAAAACUCAAACGAAUUGACGGGGCCCCGCACAAGCAGCGGAGCGUGUGGUUUAAUUCGAUUCUACACGAAGAACCUUACCUGGGUUUGACAUAUACGUGGUAGGGAAGCGAAAGCGGACCGACCCUUCGGGGAGCGUAUACAGGUGCUGCAUGGCUGUCGUCAGCUCGUGCCGUGAGGUGUCGGGUUAAGUCCCGUAACGAGCGCAACCCUUGCCCUUAGUUAUACGUGUCUAAGGGGACUGCCGGCGGUAAGCCGGAGGAAGGUGGGGAUGACGUCAAGUCAGCAUGGCCCUUAUAUCCAGGGCUACACACACGCUACAAUGGUCAGUACAAAGGGCAGCGAAGCCGCGAGGUGGAGCGAAUCCCAACAAAGCUGAUCGUAGUUCGAAUUGCAGGCUGCAACUCGCCUGCAUGAAGCUGGAGUUGCUAGUAACCGCGCGUCAGCUAUAGUGCGGUGAAUACGUUCCCGGGGCUUGUACACACCGCCCGUCACGUCAUGGGAGUCGGUAACGCCUGAAGCUGGUAGCCUAGCCCGCAAGGGAGGGCGCCAUCGAAGGCGGGGCUGGCAACUGGGACGAAGUCGUAACAAGGUA
rnacentral:rRNA from 1 species